GCAGCCAUGCCUUUAACCCAAAUUAAUAACCCCAACAAUCAGUUUGCUAGGGAUUCUUUUGCCAGCAACCGAACCACCAUGAUAUUUUGGUGAUCAACAGCAUGCAAACAGCACCCGAUCCGACCAUUGAAGGUGCUCGACCAUUCCUAAAGGAUUUGGUAAGUCAUUCGACCCCCUUUGCCCCCUUUUUUAGAAACCUUCAAAUUAUUUUUACUCUUUUGAAAACCAAGCAAAGAUUUGAAGUGAAAUUCUUGACCCUCGCCCGUAUCUACUCGUUUUCGAGAUGUUUUUGGGCUUUCAUUGGAAUCGAUUCACACAUUGAAAAGGAAAUCGAGUCAAAAAAGAAAAAAAGAAGAAAUAAAUCGGAAGAAAAAGAAAAAAGAAACAAGGAAACUUGAAAUCACCUUUUCUAUCUUUUGAUUUCUUUUCUCUCUUCUGUAUGCGUGUGUUCGUAAAAUAUGCGUAACCAAAUACAAUUGAUCCAUUCUUGGCUUUAUAGCCGAAACUAAAAAAGAAAAAAUCAAAAAUCAAAAUACAAUAUUCCAUUGCUUUUUGCUGCUGCUGUGUUUGUCUUGUUCGCAGGUACGGAGUAGAGGACAUACGCUGGCCCUUGGCGUGAGGCGUACGAAGGGUGGACGUGGCGCUGCUGAGGCGUAAGGAGGUAGCUGGCGUGAUGUGGUUAGGCCGUUCGUGAGGACUGCGGCGCAAGGAGCCCUUUGCCCUAGGGUUUGCCGAAAGUUGGCUUAGUUUUUGGGCCGUUUGGGCCUGUUCUAGUUAUUGGGCCAUUGUAUUUGGGCUAUGGGGUAUUGGGUUAGGUUAUGUAUUGGGCCAAAGUCUGUAAAUAGACAUUUAAUGGACUGUGGGUUUUUAUUAUAUUUUUUUAAUUUAAUUUUGGUUUUUGGUUGUUGGGCCCAGGCAGAUUUGGCCCAUUACAACGUUUUUAACCGUUAUUUAUCAUCUAAUAUGUUUUUUUGGUAAUAUUUAUAUUAGGUAUGUAGUUAUUUCUUUUUUGAAAUUUAUUUCGUAAAUUUAUAUUUCAAUUUGUAAUGAUUAUAUUUGCUGUGAUUUUAGUACUAGAAAUAUGAUUUAUAUAUUCAAAUUAAAAUUUAAAAAUAAUUUAUAUUAAUUGCUUAAAAAU
rnacentral:lncRNA from 1 species